GUGAUCAGGUGGUGGCCCGACGCAGGUGUUUCUGGCGCCUGCGAUAAUGAACGAAGAUGAACGUUAUGAUUCAUUGUGUUGAUGAUGUGACCGAGAAAGAGCCUCUGCUCUGAUUCUGGUAACGCCGAGAUGGUGAGUAAUCAAUUGCCUUUUAUCUUGGUUGAAAUCGGGUUGAAAUGCGGUCUGGACGUCUGCGACCUCGUUUCAACCGGCUAAAAAGUGGGCAAAACGUUAAUUUGUUAAUAAUGUGUCAUAUUGUAACGUAAGGUUGAAAGAGACUAUAUUAUCAUGACGAUUUUAAUAAAAUGGUCGGCGCAAUGCUCCACCUAAAACGUCAGAAAUAUGGACAAGAUGCUUUUAAGACGUAGCAAUGCGGUCAGUUUUACGCUCCGCUCACAUCUGUAACGCGCAUGCGCAAGUUCUUGGCCGCUUGCAGCGCUUCCACCGGAUGCGGCACGAGGCGAAGUUUGUGCGGCAGCAGAGCGACAUGAACCGGCUGAUAGAACCACGGCUACCGGCUCCAAUACUCUGUUUCUGUGGAUGCUGGAGGCCUGAUGGAGGUUACGCCUGAUGGAGGUUGUCCCUGCAGUGGUCCUGCCGUACACCUGGCUUACUACUAAAUAUUUGAAUCAUUUCUGUCGUAGGAAUUGAACUUUUUCCUGUUCCAUGUUUCGGGACCAGAAGUUGCAUGUUUGCGGACUGUAAAGCUCUCUAAUGCUCAUUUGUAAUUUUGGGCUGUACAAAAAUAAAAUGAUUUGAUUUGAAUUAACACGUUGACCGGAGGAAUCAGCCAUAUCUGUAAUUGAGGGGUGUUCUGUGCAUUCUGACUCCCUUUACACAAAGAAUCAAGUGACCAUAAGGGCGAUGGAGCUGAUCUCACGUAUUCUAUCCCAAUUCGUGACUCAGAACCAGAUCUUGUUACAGGAUCGGAAAAUGAAGUUCCAAAAAUUCAGCAAAAUGGGCUACAGACAGAUUUCUAAAUAAACUUGUCCAUGUUUAUACUUUUUUUU
ensembl:lncRNA